CCUGAAAAUGGAUGGCGCUGUAGCGUCGUGCCUAUACUCGGCCGUCAACGGCACAGGGGGCGGCACCUUCGCGGGUGCCGGGCCGUUAUGCCUUGACGAGUAGGAGGGUCGCGGCGGUGUGCGCAGAAGGGUCUGGGCGUGAGCCUGCCUGGAGCCGCCGUCGGCGCAGAUCUUGGUGGUAGUAGCAAAUACUCCAGCGAGGACCUGGAGGACUGACGUGGAGAAGGGUUUCUUGUGAACAGCUGUUGCACAAGAGUCAGUCGAUCCUAAGCCCUAGGAGAAAUCCUAUGUCGAUGGGAAGCCGUUGAAGAUAGAAGGCGCUUUGCGCUCUUGUAUUGGAAGGCGACCCACGGGGCGAAAGGGAAUCCGGUUCCUAUUCCGGAACCCGGCUGCGGAACCGUUCAUAAGCGGGCCCUCAUCCGAGAGCUCGACGGGGCAACCCGAAGAGACCCGGAGACGCCGGCGGGAGGUCCGGAGAGAGUUUUCUUUUCUCUAUAAGCGUUCGAGUUCCCUGGAAGCCUAUAGCAGGGAGAUAGGGUUUGGAACGCGAAGAGCACCGCAGUUGCGGCGGUGUCCGGAUCUUCCCCUCGGACCUUGAAAAUCCGGGAGAGGGCUACGCGGAAUGUCCGCGCCGGAUCGUACCCAUAUCCGCAGCAGGUCUCCAAGGUUAAGAGCCUCUAGUCGAUAGAAUAAUGUAGGUAAGGGAAGUCGGCAAACUAGAUCCGUAACUUCGGAAAAAGGAUUGGCUCUGAGGAUCGGGGCGUGUCGGGCUUGGUCGGGAAGCGGGUUUGUGCCAACGUGCCGGGCCUGGGCGAAGUGAACGGGGCUUGCCCCGGAAUCUGAGCUCGGUCCCGUGCCUUGGCCUCCCGCGGAUCUUCCUUGCUGCGAGGUGUUGGCUGUCUGUCGCGGGUAAACCACCUCACGGUGGCCCCGAAGGACGGGCCUCCUACCUCUUCGGCCGCCAUUCAACGAUCAACUCAGAACUGGCACGGACCGGGGGAAUCCGACUGUCUAAUUAAAACAAAGCAUUGCGAUGGCCCCAGAGGGUGCUGACGCAAUGUGAUUUCUGCCCAGUGCUCUGAAUGUCAACGUGAAGAAAUCAAGCAAGAAAGGGUAAGAGACGGGAGUACGUAUGACUCUCUUAAGGUACGCAAAUGCCUCUCAUCUAAUUCCAACGUUCAGGAAUGGAUUACCCAUCUACCAACUGUCCCUAUCUACUAUCUAGCGAAACCACUGCCAAGGGAACGGGCUGGAAAAAU
rnacentral:rRNA from 1 species